rnacentral:rRNA from 1 species
UACGUAGGGUGCGAGCGUUGUCCGGAAUUAUUGGGCGUAAAGAGCUCGUAGGCGGUUUGUCGCGUCUGCUGUGAAAACUGGAGGCUCAACCUCCAGCCUGCAGUGGGUACGGGCAGACUAGAGUGCGGUAGGGGAGAUUGGAAUUCCUGGUGUAGCGGUGGAAUGCGCAGAUAUCAGGAGGAACACCGAUGGCGAAGGCAGGUCUCUGGGCCACUACUGACGCUGAGAAGCGAAAGCAUGGGGAGCGAACAGG